GAGAUAGAUUGGUGCCUUCGGGAACAUUGAGACAGGUGCUGCAUGGCUGUCGUCAGCUCGUGUCGUGAGAUGUUGGGUUAAGUCCCGUAACGAGCGCGACCCUUGUCCUUAGUUACCAGCACGUAAUGGUGGGCACUCUAAGGAGACUGCCGGUGACAAACCGGAGGAAGGUGGGGAUGGCGUCAAGUCAUCAUGGCCCUUACGGCCUGGGCUACACACGUGCUACAAUGGUCGGUACAGAGGGUUGCCAAGCCGCGAGGUGGAGCUAAUCCCACAAAACCGAUCGUAGUCCGGAUCGCAGUCUGCAACUCGACUGCGUGAAGUCGGAAUCGCUAGUAAUCGCGAAUCAG
rnacentral:rRNA from 1 species